rnacentral:rRNA from 1 species
ACGUCUAGCACGCCGCCGCGAGGGCUAGCGGCUAGACUAGCCCUCGUCCUGCUGCCGCCGUCACGAGGCCCUCCGCUCCUUGCCACUCCUUCACCGCUUCCAGCCCUAGGUAUGGCCGCCAAACAUCACCUCCGGCCGCCGCCACCUCGAGGUACCGGCCACCGCAAGGACUAGGGGCUAGGUUAGCCCUCGUCCUGUUGCUGCCGUCUCGAGGCCCUCCGCCCCUUGCUGCCCCUUCACCGCCUCCAGCCCUAGGUAGGGCCGCCAAGCAUCACCUCCUGUCACCGACGCCGCGAGGUACCGGCACCGCUGAGCCAGAAGAUCCCACUUCUAUGCUUCCUUCCUCUACUCCACCCUACGUCUCUUCUCUUCCCUCUUAUCCCUGACGCGCCGAUGGUCGACGUCCAGGCCGCCGCCGAGACCAGUAGCCUAGGUCGGCGAGGGGCAGAGGGACGCAGCAGGGUUCUACCAGGCCGACCCGCGGCGGGACUGCCGGCUCGCACACGAUAGGUGCCUUGCGCCGAGGAGGUGGGUCCGGUAGGAGGUGUUGCGGUCGCUCCUGUGAUGAAACAGGUUUGCUAGUAGUGCUGGUGCGCGUCCAUGUGUGUGUACACGAGGGGACCAAAUAAAACUACGGAAAAACGCUGUACAGACAAUACAAAGUCUUAGAAAAACUUUGACUUUAAACUUUUCUCGUACUCAAAACUAUCCUAACAUAUAUAGGAAGUCAACGAAUGACAUUGGACAUGGAAGACCAUCUAACUGUAUCUAUCUUAGUAUGACUAAAGGACAUUAAAGCAGUAGUGUUUCUACAAGAUAAACAAACCAGAUGACAUAACACUACUGGUAGUCUUUGGUAGAUAUAUACAAUAAACAUGACAAUUUAAAUCAAGAUCGUUGGUGCUCCUUCAUUACACAAUAUGCGGAUUGUGUACUAAUUCUUAAUUGUACGAACUUCUAGACCAAGUGGAGUUUGGUGAAAAGGUUUAUAGUUGACCGACGACAAAAACCUUUAAAACUAGUCGUGAGGUCUUUUUACAUACUACAUGGAAAAAUUGAAACCUCAUACUCAAACGUUUGAGGUCUUAACCUCAUAAGCAUACGUUUGAGGUCUUUCAAAGAGACCAGGACUAUGUGUAGUACUUCAUCCAUUGACCACACCAUGAAUAUAAGUCUAAACUGUCCUUAUCUUUGACUUGGAUAAUUUAUCAAUACUAUCCGAUCUACCCAAUAUUGAGAAGUAUUUAAGUAAAGGCUUAAUAACAAACUUGUUGCGACCCAACCUCGGGGCCACCACGAUUGUAGACGACGACCUGCCGCUGGUUACCCUGUUCAGGGAUCCAUUCUGCUUUUGUUCACAACGUAGUCGUGUAAACUACGUGUUGUCGGUAGCAUUCAAGGAGAGGGAAGAGAUUAAUCAUAACUAUAAAGUAACAAUAAUCUCGUCUCGUCGGUGGUUUUCAAGGAGAAAACUACGUAGUAACUUUUGUAGAGAGAGAGAGAGAGAGAGAUUAACUAAGUGUGUAAAUAGUCAAGUGCGCCGCGUGCCACACAGGUAAAGUAAACCUAAAACUUUGUGUUACUUACCUUUUCAUCUCCGACCCGCCUGAUGUUUUACCCGUCGUCUCACCAACAACUUGAAAUAGACAGGAGGUAAUUAGGAAACGACACACAUGUAUAUCUUCACGACUUCUGACAACCCACUGACUAAGCUGCGUUUCAAGUUACCGAGGAAGACACGAUAGACCUCGACCUAACCAGUAGUGUGUCAGCUACGUCUCAAGCUUCGUGGCGCAUCAUACUCGUCUCUAACGACCAUCAAGACUUUCAUGUCACUUGGUUCCACAUCCAAGUCUUGAACUCUAGCCAAACUGGAGCCCACAAAUAAGACACAGACUAGUACAUGCGUACAGUAUUUUAAUUCUAGACCCCAAUGGAGUACACAAACAACUGACAUUCACAAAACGUACACUGCCGGGUACAGCAAACAGGUUAAGACUAGGCGAUACCACCUCCGGCUGCCGUAUUACAACGGAACGUCAGUCUGCACCCGGUGCACGGAACGUAUUUUUAGACUUAUGGACAAUAAUAUAUGGACCCACAUGUACAACACGAAACCCUUAGAGUUCCCUCGUAUCUCCUUUCUAUAGCUCCCGUAGACACGAGAUCGUGUAUUAUGGUGAAAGUCGAAACAUAAAGUCCCUGCAUCUGUCACGUGAAAGAUAUUCACCACCAUAUAAACAUUACCUACACAUACCACUGUCUAGCAG